GUCUAGCCUGCCCAAUGAGGUAUUUAAUGGCCGCAGUAUUUUGACUGUGCAAAGGUAGCAUAAUAAUUAGUCUUUUAAUUGAAGGCUUGAAUGAAGGGUUGGAUGAAAUAUUAACUGUCUUAAUUUAAUUAUAUAGAAUUUUAUUUUUUAGUGAAAAAGCUAAAAUGUAUUUAAAAGACGAGAAGACCCUAUUAAUCUUUAUAUUUUAUAUAUAAUAGGAAGUUAGAUUAUUUAUUUUAUUAUAUUGUAAAUAUUUUAUUGGGGUGAUAUUAAAAUUUAAUUAAUUUUUAAUUUUUGUUAACAUAAAUUAAUGAAUUGUUGAUCUAUUGUGUAUAAUUAUAAGUUUAAGUUACUAUAGGGAUAACAGCGUAAUUUUUUUGGUAAGUUCAUAUUAAUAAAAAGGAUUGCGACCUCGAUGUUGGAUUAAGAUAAGGUUUAGGUGAAGAAGUUUAAAUNUU
rnacentral:rRNA from 1 species